rnacentral:rRNA from 2 species
UUUGGUGAGAAUAGCUAUGGGGAUACACCCAGUUACAUUCCGAACCUGGAAGUUAAGCCCAUAAACGCUGAAAGUACUUGGAGGGAAGCCUCCUGGGAGGAUAGGAACUUGCCAAAC